AUUGAACGCUGGCGGCAUGCUUUACACAUGCAAGUCGAACGGCAGCGCGGGCUUCGGCCUGGCGGCGAGUGGCGAACGGGUGAGUAAUGCAUCGGAACGUGCCCAGUAGUGGGGGAUAGCCCAGCGAAAGCCGGAUUAAUACCGCAUACGACCUGAGGGUGAAAGCGGGGGACCGAAAGGCCUCGCGCUAUUGGAGCGGCCGAUGUCGGAUUAGCUAGUUGGUGGGGGAAAGGCUUACCAAGGCGACGAUCCGUAGCUGGUCUGAGAGGACGACCAGCCACACUGGGACUGAGACACGGCCCAGACUCCUACGGGAGGCAGCAGUGGGGAAUUUUGGACAAUGGGGGCAACCCUGAUCCAGCCAUGCCGCGUGCGGGAAGAAGGCCUUCGGGUUGUAAACCGCUUUUGUUCGGGAAGAAAUCCUCUGGGCUAAUACCCCGGGGGGAUGACGGUACCGGAAGAAUAAGCACCGGCUAACUACGUG
rnacentral:rRNA from 1 species